CACGCCGUAAACUAUGGGUACUAGGUGUAGGGGGUAUCGACUCCCCCUGUGCCGCCGUUAACACAAUAAGUACCCCGCCUGGGGAGUACGGUCGCAAGACUAAAACUCAAAGGAAUUGACGGGGGCCCGCACAAGCAGCGGAGCAUGUGGUUUAAUUCGAAGCAACGCGAAGAACCUUACCUAGACUUGACAUCUCCUGAAUUACCCGUAACUGGGGAAGCUCUUCGGAGCAGGAAGACAGGUGGUGCAUGGUUGUCGUCAGCUCGUGUCGUGAGAUGUUGGGUUAAGUCCCGCAACGAGCGCAACCCUUAUCGUUAGUUGCUACCAUUAAGUUGAGCACUCUAGCGAGACUGCCCGGGUUAACCGG
rnacentral:rRNA from 1 species